GUGGUGAAGGAGCAGAGACUUCAGAGCAAAAGGUUCAGACAAGUUUUGUCCCAAAUCCUCUGCCACGGACGUCAUUUCUGUGAGCCAGGCGGACGUCUGAGACGACAUAAAAAAGAGGACAUAAAACCGACAUAGAGGAAGUAUCUUCAACAGAUUGCAGGUGGCUCUGGAUACUCUGUAAGUUGCCAACACCAUCACCGCGACACAGCUCCAGGACUAACUGCAAAAAAAGAGGAGACUGGACUCAGGAUCUCUGGAACGACCUCGGUCACCAGACUGAUGAAGUCUACCAGCUUGUCAUACUGCAAAACAUUGUGCUGAUGCACGAUCUGCCACAGAAAUGCUGACAUGAGCCUCACAGGAGGAACCAGGAG